rnacentral:lncRNA from 1 species
UAAAUUUCAACUCAUAACCAUUUUUGUACAAUUUGUAAUUAUUUUCUAAACUCAGAACAGGGGACUCCAAAAACAGUUCUGACCCUAUCUUACUAAAAUUCACAUAUCUUAAAAUAUAAAUUUCCUUUUUCUACACCGUUAUUUUUCCAUGAAAAUAUACUCAACAAGCUUUAAUUCCAUAUAUCAUUCACCCUAUAAUUCAUUUUAUACUAUCUUGGGUGAUUUUUCAAAUUCAC